GCUCAUGAUGGAUAGCUCACUCAGUAGAGCACGAGACUCUUAAUCUCAGGGCUGUUGGUUCGAGCCCCAUGUUGGGUA